CUUAGGAUGAACGCUAGCGACAGGCCUAACACAUGCAAGUCAGGGGCAGCACAAGGAGCAAUCUGAGGUGGCGACCGGCGCACGGGUGAGUAACACGUAUGCAACCUGCCUGUAAGCGGGGAAUAACCCGUUGAAAGACGGACUAAUACCGCAUAAUACUAAAUUACUGCAUGGUAAUUAUUUAAACAUUUAUGGCUUACAGAUGGGCAUGCGCAUGAUUAGCUAGUUGGAGAGGUAACGGCUCCCCAAGGCAACGAUCAUUAGGGGUUCUGAGAGGAAGGUCCCCACACUGGUACUGAGACACGGACCAGACUCCUACGGGAGGCAGCAGUGAGGAAUAUUGGUCAAUGGACGAGAGUCUGAACCAGCCAAGUCGCGUGCAGGAAGAAUGUCCUAAUGGAUUGUAAACUGCUUUUGCAGGGGAAUAAAGUGCAUCACGUGUGAUGUUUUGUAUGUACUCUGCGAAUAAGGAUCGGCUAACUCCGUGCCAGCCGCAGC
rnacentral:rRNA from 1 species